rnacentral:rRNA from 1 species
UGCGCAGGCGGUUAUGCAAGACAGAUGUGAAAUCCCCGGGCUUAACCUGGGAACUGCAUUUGUGACUGCAUAGCUGGAGUACGGCAGAGGGGGAUGGAAUUCCGCGUGUAGCAGUGAAAUGCGUAGAUAUGCGGAGGAACACCGAUGGCGAAGGCAGUCCCCUGGGCCUGUACUGACGCUCAUGCACGAAAGCGUGGGGAGCAAACA